AGUUACUACUAGGCGAAGCUUCGUAUAAUCCCGCUGAUAAGGUGUGGGAGUCUCUACCUGAAACCUCAAAUUUCAGAUUACGAAGAGUUAAGUGCAUGGC
rnacentral:ncRNA from 2 species